rnacentral:rRNA from 1 species
UACGUAGGUGGCAAGCGUUGUCCGGAAUCACUGGGCGUAAAGCGCGCGUAGGCGGUCUGUUAAGUGGGAUGUGAAAUCCCCGGGCUUAACCUGGGAAUUGCAUUUCAAACUGGCCGACUAGAGUACGGUAGAGGGAGGUAGAAUUUCCUGUGUAGCGGUGAAAUGCGUAGAUAUAGGAAGGAAUACCAGUGGCGAAGGCGGCCUCCUGGAUCGAUACUGACGCUGAGGCGCGAAAGCGUGGGGAGCAAACAGG